GAUGAACGCUGGCGGCGGGCCUAAUACAUGCAAGUCGAGCGAAGCGGGGAGGGGUGAGUAAAACGUGGGGAACCUCCUCUAAGGCUGGGGUAAAUUCGGGAAAACGUAGCUAAACCGGAUAAUUAUCGCUGGAUCCGGACUGCAUUAGCUAGUUGGUAAGGUAACGGCUCACCAAGGCCACGAUUCAUAGCAGACCUGAGAGGAUGAUCGGCCACACUGGAACUGAGACACGGUCCAGACUCCUACGGGAGGCAGCAGUAGGGAAUCUUCCGCAAUGGGCGAAAGCCUGACGGAGCAAUGCCGCGUGAAUGAUGAAGGCCUUCGGAUUGUAAAGCACUGUUAUUGGGGAAGCGUUACCUAAUCAGAAAGCCACGGCUAACUACGUGCCAGCAGCCGCGGUAAUAC
rnacentral:rRNA from 1 species